rnacentral:rRNA from 1 species
UACGUAGGUGGCAAGCGUUGUCCGGAUUUACUGGGCGUAAAGAGCGCGCAGGCGGUCGUUCAAGUCGCGUGUGAAAGCCCCCGGCUCAACUGGGGAGGGUCACGCGAUACUGAUCGACUCGAAGGCAGGAGAGGGAAGUGGAAUUCCCGGUGUAGUGGUGAAAUGCGUAGAUAUCGGGAGGAACACCAGUGGCGAAGGCGACUACCUGGCCUGUUCUUGACGCUGAGGCGCGAAAGCUAGGGGAGCGAACGGG